rnacentral:rRNA from 1 species
GACGAACGCUGGCGGCGUGCUUAACACAUGCAAGUCGAGCGGCAAGGCCCUUUCGGGGGUACACGAGCGGCGAACGGGUGAGUAACACGUGGGUGACCUGCCCUCAGCUCUGGGAUAAGCCUGGGAAACUGGGUCUAAUACCGGAUAUGACUUCGCAUCGCAUGGUGUGGGGUGGAAAGUUUUUCGGCUGGGGAUGGGCCCGCGGCCUAUCAGCUUGUUGGUGGGGUGAUGGCCACCAAGGCGACGACGGGUAGCCGGCCUGAGAGGGCGACCGGCCACACUGGGACUGAGACACGGCCCAGACUCCUACGGGAGGCAGCAGUGGGGAAUAUUGCGCAAUGGGCGGAAGCCUGACGCAGCGACGCCGCGUGGGGA